rnacentral:rRNA from 1 species
AUUGAACGCUGGCGGCAGGCCUAACACAUGCAAGUCGAACGGUAACAGGGAGCAGCUUGCUGCUCUGCUGACGAGUGGCGGACGGGUGAGUAAUGUCUGGGAAACUGCCUGAUGGAGGGGGAUAACUACUGGAAACGGUAGCUAAUACCGCAUAACGUCUWCGGACCAAAGUGGGGGACCUUCGGGCCUCAUGCCAUCAGAUGUGCCCAGAUGGGAUUAGCUAGUAGGUGGGGUAACGGCUCACCUAGGCGACGAUCCCUAGCUGGUCUGAGAGGAUGACCAGCCACACUGGAACUGAGACACGGUCCAGACUCCUACGGGAGGCAGCAGUGGGGAAUAUUGCACAAUGGGCGCAAGCCUGAUGCAGCCAUGCCGCGUGUAUGAAGAAGGCCUUCGGGUUGUAAAGUACUUUCAGCGGGGAGGAAGGYGYUGUGGUUAAUAACCACAGCRAUUGACGUUACCCGCAGAAGAAGCACCGGCUAACUCC